GAAAUCUGAUCUAUUUUUCUCUGGGAUAUUUUGUGCCAAACUGAGAGUGCCAUGAUGGAUAUGACUAGCUGAGAAGAGCCACAGACUAUGUUUAUUCCUAAAAACAACACAGUCAUGAUAAAUAACAGCCUUUACAUCGUUUUGUUUCUCUGGAGACUGAUCCUGAUCUUACCUAUCUAAUUUCAUGCACAUGAAUAUUCCCGUUGAUUAAGGGCAUCACUUUUUCCAUGUAUUUACUAAAUGGUUUAUAUUUGCCUAAUGCACAUCUUUCAGAAAGAAAUUCAGACUUAAUUCAAUGAUUGCUGGAAUUUCCUAUGUUUUCCAAAACAUUAAAAAUUACAUCAGUGUGUUUUGAGCCUCCCCUUGCAAAAUUCUUCUAUGAUUCUCCUGUGCAAGUUCUGCAGACUUGAUGGGC